AAGAUGGCAGGCGUCCACACACCUUUCAGAGCCUGUUCCUUCUAUUGUGUCAGCAAACAAUAGCCUCCGUGCUAAUCUGUGAAUCUCCUCAGGCUCUCUUCAUGCCUUUACCAUCCUGCUUCCCCAGCCCAAGUUACCUACUCCACUAUUUACAGCCUUCUGAACAGCCCGGUUAUUUCUCUGCAUGCUCUGCAAGAAGUUUCUUCUGCUCUCCACAGAAGUCCUCUGACCAUCGACUCAUCCAUCUCCCACAGAUCUGCCUCCUGCCCAGUAUUACCUGUCAAAGCUUUUCCUACCAACAUGCUGCAUAUCUUAGGGUUCAUACUUCAUCUCCAGUAUUACCUGAGUCUCCAAUGACACCAGUGAUUUGGCAAAUUGGGGCAUGAGAGCUGCCAGAUUUGAAAGAGGUGCUGAGUCUUGAGAUUCAUCUACAACCAUGUUAAAGGUAUCUAAAACAUUCUAACCAGUAAUUUGCAAACUGACCCCAAAGAUGCAAGACCUGGUUUGGACUACAAACAUCACAUGUAGUAAAUGUAUGAAUGACAACUUGAUAUGAACUAA